rnacentral:rRNA from 1 species
CCUACGGGGCGCAGCAGUCGGGAAUAUUGCGCAAUGGAGGAAACUCUGACGCAGUGACGCCGCGUAUAGGAAGAAGGUUUUCGGAUUGUAAACUAUUGUCGUGAGGGAAGAAAUUGACAGUACCUCAGGAGGAAGCUCCGGCUAACUAUGUGCCAGCAGCCGCGGUAAUACAUAGGGAGCAAGCGUUAUCCGGAUUUAUUGGGUGUAAAGGGUGCGUAGACGGGAAAUUAAGUUAGUUGUGAAAUCCCUCGGCUUAACUGAGGAACUGCAUUUGAAACUGUCAGUCUUGAGUACCGGAGAGGUCA